rnacentral:misc_RNA from 1 species
GAACCAAGCUUAGCGCUUGGAAGGAUUGAGAAAACUAUCUAUUUGGAGGCGUUGAUUAAAUCCAAUUCCCUUAAUGAUUAUGUGGGAUCUUAUUUCUCUGUUUCUGUUGUUGGUGGAUCAGGUUGGAUCUUGUCUGGUUGAGAUGAUGUGAAUGCUGUAAAAGAACCUUUUAACAAACAACUAUCAUGUUAAAUCAUCAAUAUGACAACUGUUAUGUUUAGGGCAUGCGUAUAAUAAAUUUAGAAACCAUUUGAAGAACUUGCUUGUAGUUGGACAUUUUUGAUAAAGUCUCUUUCGUUGUGUUGUGGCUAUAUAAUACAUGCUGAGAUACUGCAAGUAAUAUGCAUUUUUAAU